UUGGCCAACUCUGCUGGAUAGGCAUCCUUGUCAUAUGGUUUCAAACGCUAGUACAUAACAUAAAAAAGGACGCACCAAACCUUUUAAAUAAAACACAAAGUUGAAAACAGUAGCGACGGAUAACCAGAGAUCAUUUUUCUUUCCAUUUUGAACAUCAAAAUUUUACAGCAAGAUAACCAAACAAAUGGAAGCUUUAAGGAAGCUAAAACGGAGAAAUGGAAAUAGAAACUCGAAAAGGAAACUAACCGGUUGCGGAGAGAUUGACCGACGGAUGUAGAGUAGUGGAGUGUACGGAGGACGUUUGGAAAUUUUUGUCCAUAUUCAGCUUGUGGUCCCCUUCUUCUUCUCAACCAAAUCCAUUUACUGUUGCAGCUUCGGCGCGGAUUGAGGUUGGUCUUCUCGAGCCUCACUGUAAGGCCAACGGCUGAGACAUCCACAGUUGAAACCAAAAGAUUUGUGUUAUCCUGGUUUAGAGUUAAAACUGUGAUAUCCUUCCCUUCUCCCAGUCUUAAUACAUCAGAUACCUCCAGAGUGUGCAUAUCCAGGAAGCAAACUGAUGGUGAUGGAAGAUCAUUUUCUAGAGAAUUAACUCCGAUCAAAGCACUUGUCCCAUCAACAAAAAUUUGCAUGCAGUUGAUACUGCAAAAGAAGGAGAAUUGUGCUCUUGCAAUUGGAGUACCGUUGAGAGUAAAGGUACUGGAGUAUGCUGUGAUUAAUUCCAAGUCAUUACAACCCCUUCAGAUGAAAGACAGACAAUAUGGGCCUCCACACCAUCCAAUCUUCUAAUUAAACGUCCUCUUCUAAUGGAGUGCAAGAGGACAUCUGAUGAAUGAGAGCAAGAAACAACUAUUCCGAGAUUUGAGUUAACAUAAUAACUGAUUAUUUCACUGCGGUACCCCCGAAGUACUUGUAUAGGGCCCUCAAUUCGACGUUUCCGAUUCUUUUCAAUCAAGUGUGAUGAACUAUUGCUGGUUGGAGAUUGUGUGUCUAUCCCAGUGGAAUGUUCUGAUACGAGAUUUGAGUGAGACACGAGAAUCCUAUGUAUUCUCUAGAGUAAUACUGUUGUAUCUCGGGAUCCUGUGACUAGGUAGUUACUAUCAGGUGAAAGACCAAGGCAAGUUACAAGAGCACAAUGUCCAUAAGCUGUUUCUAAGGUCUUAGCUCCAUCUGAUGAUAUCAGCCAAAU